GAUGAACGCUGGCGGCGUGCCUAAUACAUGCAAGUCGAACGCAGUGGGGACGGGUGAGUAUCACGUGGGUAACCUCCCAUCAGAGGGGAUAACACUUGGAAACAGGUGCUAAACCGAUACUGAUGGAUGAACUCGCGGUGCAUUAGCUAGUGGGUGAGGUAACGGCUCACCAAGGCCACGAUGCAUAGCCGACCUGAGAGGUGGAGAGGCCACACUGGGACUGAGACACGGCCCAGACUCCUACGGGAGGCAGCAGUAGGGAAUCUUCGGCAAUGGACGAAAGUCUGACCGAGCAACGCCGCGUGAGUGAAGAAGGUUUUCGGACCGUAAAACUCUGUUGUUAGAGAAGCGGUAUCUAACCAGAAAGCAACGGCUAACUACGUGCCAGCAGCCGCGGUAAUAC
rnacentral:rRNA from 1 species